GAGUUUGAUCAUGGCUCAGAUUGAACGCUGGCGGCAGGCCUAACACAUGCAAGUCGAGCGGAAACGAGUUAUCUGAACCUUCGGGGAACGAUAACGGCGUCGAGCGGCGGACGGGUGAGUAAUGCCUAGGAAAUUGCCCUGAUGUGGGGGAUAACCAUUGGAAACGAUGGCUAAUACCGCAUAAUGCCUACGGGCCAAAGAGGGGGACCUUCGGGCCUCUCGCGUCAGGAUAUGCCUAGGUGGGAUUAGCUAGUUGGUGAGGUAAUGGCUCACCAAGGCGACGAUCCCUAGCUGGUCUGAGAGGAUGAUCAGCCACACUGGAACUGAGACAUGGUCCAGACUCCUACGGGAGGCAGCAGUGGGGAAUAUUGCACAAUGGGCGCAAGCCUGAUGCAGCCAUGCCGCGUGUGUGAAGAAGGCCUUCGGGUUGUAAAGCACUUUCAGUCGUGAGGAAGGUGGUAGUGUUAAUAGCACUAUCAUUUGACGUUAGCGACAGAAGAAGCACCGGCUAACUCCGUGCCAGCAGCCGCGGUAAUACGGAGGGUGCGAGCGUUAAUCGGAAUUACUGGGCGUAAAGCGCAUGCAGGUGGUUUGUUAAGUCAGAUGUGAAAGCCCGGGGCUCAACCUCGGAAUUGCAUUUGAAACUGGCAGACUAGAGUACUGUAGAGGGGGGUAGAAUUUCAGGUGUAGCGGUGAAAUGCGUAGAGAUCUGAAGGAAUACCGGUGGCGAAGGCGGCCCCCUGGACAGAUACUGACACUCAGAUGCGAAAGCGUGGGGAGCGAACAGGAUUAGAUACCCUGGUAGUCCACGCCGUAAACGAUGUCUACUUGGAGGUUGUGGCCUUGAGCCGUGGCUUUCGGAGCUAACGCGUUAAGUANACCGCCUGGGGAGUACNGUCNCCAGAAUUAAACUCCAAUGAAUUGACGGGGGCCCNCANAACGGUGGANCAUGUGGUUUANUUCGAUGCAACGCGAAAAACCUUACCUACUCUUGACAUCCANAAAACUUUCCA
rnacentral:rRNA from 1 species